UACGUAGGGUGCAAGCGUUAAUCGGAAUUACUGGGCGUAAAGCGUGCGCAGGCGGCUUUGCAAGACAGAUGUGAAAUCCCCGGGCUUAACCUGGGAACUGCAUUUGUGACUGCAUGGCUGGAGUGCGGCAGAGGGGGAUGGAAUUCCGCGUGUAGCAGUGAAAUGCGUAGAUAUCGAGAGGAACACCUGCGGCGAAGGCGGGUAGCUGGGCCGACACUGACGCUGAGGCGCGAAAGCCAGGGGAGCGAACGGG
rnacentral:rRNA from 1 species